rnacentral:rRNA from 1 species
CCUACGGGAGGCUGCAGUGAGGAAUAUUGGUCAAUGGGCGGGAGCCUGAACCAGCCAAGCCGCGUGAGGGAAGAAGGUACAGCGUAUCGUAAACCUCUUUUGUCAGGGAACAAAGGCGGGGACUAGUCCCCGGAUGAGGGUACCUGAAGAAAAAGCCUCGGCUAACUCCGUGCCAGCAGCCGCGGUAAUACGGAGGAUGCGAGCGUUAUCCGGAUUGAUUGGGUUAAAAGGGUGCGCAGGCGGCCUGUUACGUCAGCGGUAAAAGCCCGGGGCGCAACCCCGGCGAGCCGUUGAAACUGGCGGGCUGGAGUUGGAGAGAAGUACGCGGAAUGCGCGGUGUAGCGGUGAAAUGCUUAGAUAUCGCGCAGAACCCCGAUUGCGAAGGCAGCGUACCGGCUCCACACUGACGCUGAGGCACGAAAGCGUGGGUAUCGAACAGGAUUAGAUACCCUAGUAGUC